rnacentral:lncRNA from 1 species
GUAAAACGUACCAUUCACACGCAAGCUGGCAACAUUUCGUUGGUGUCCUUCUACCUACUGGCGCUCGAGCUUUUCCUCUUCUCUUCGACAGUCGUGCAAAAUAUCUCACUGCCUUAGGAUGAAUUAGAAUAUUACAUUUGAAUCUUUUCUAGCGCUUCAUGUGUCUCAUCACUCCUUAUUAUUCGAACUUGCGGCGAAAUUGGUCUUAAUUUUUAGCACGGCCGAGCGGUCAGUAAAAUCGGACGAUUUUCACUGAAUUAAUUGUGGGAUCCAAAGUGAUUUCUUCAAGUAUUAUAUAUGAGUGAAAUUUUAAAGUUUAGUGAAUAUUUCUAAAUUGUGCAUUUGUUGAAUUCGGAAAGUCUCCGUUGGUUUUUUUUUUUUUUUUUUUUUUUAACUUCCGGGAGGUGAAUCUAGUACGUGAAGUAAUAUUGUGAUUGGUAAAACCUAUAGCUUGACUCAACUAUCAAACAUUCGUCGGUUUGAGCCAAAAAUCAGACGGUCAAUACUUUCUGCACAAAAAGCAUGUUCAUACCUCAGCUUCCUUUCAAGCCGGAAGAAGGUUAUCGUAUUGGAACGAGGGAACGUAUUGAUAGGAAAACCAAAAUCACGAAGAGAGACAAACGUAGAUUCUGGGUUUUACCAUAAAUCUGCCAUCGAUGUAAUUCGCGCUGACAUCCGUUUAGCAUUCUCGCACGUUCGGCAGACUGCCCAACGCAUUAUUCCUUGGCCAUUAGCAGACGAGUAUAAUAAUGUUGCUGCCUAUCAGAAAAUGUUGACUUCCCGAAAGUAUUUUUUCCUCGUGCGAUUUAAUAAUUCAUUAGAUAUCGACGGUGAAACUACCAAACCACGUAUCUCGGUUUGCGACGUCGCAGACUUCCUGUCAUACUUCAUUUUUUAAAUGAAAAACUACUUAACGUCCAGUCUUGAAAAUUUCUGUGAUUUUUCCUCUUCGUGCGGAGAAAAUUCUGCGAAAAUUUCAAGGAAUGAUAUUGAUUUGGUCUACUUCAAAAAAUAAAAUGCGAGCGUAGAUUUUUAAACACCGCAAACGAGAUACGUGGUUUGGUAGUUUCACCGUCGAUAUGUAUCCACUAUACUGCCGCGCUAAGGAAAAACGCCGUAUGAACCUUCAGGCAUUUUCCAAAUUUCCUUUGAUAAAACACGAAUUUCCUGGUAAACUCAUGAAUACUUU